GAUGAACGCUGGCGGCGUGCCUAAUACAUGCAAGCCGAGCGAACAGACGAGAGUGCUUGCACUCUCUGACGUUAGCGGCGGACGGGUGAGUAACACGUGGGUAACCUACCUAUAAGACUGGGAUAACUUCGGGAAACCGGAGCUAAUACCGGAUAAUAUUUAGCUUCGCAUGAAGCAAUAGUGAAAGACGGUUCUGCUGUCACUUAUAGAUGGACCCGCGGUGUAUUAGCUAGUUGGUGAGGUAACGGCUCACCAAGGCAACGAUACAUAGCCGACCUGAGAGGGUGAUCGGCCACACUGGGACUGAGACACGGCCCAGACUCCUACGGGAGGCAGCAGUAGGGAAUCUUCCGCAAUGGACGAAAGUCUGACGGAGCAAUGCCGCGUGAGUGAAGAAGGUGUUCGGAUCGUAAAACUCUGUUGUAAGGGAAGAACAAGUACGUUAGUAACUGAACGUACCUUGACGGUACCUUACCAGAAAGCCACGGCUAACUACGUG
rnacentral:rRNA from 1 species